rnacentral:rRNA from 1 species
GUGGGGAAUAUUGGACAAUGGGCGCAAGCCUGAUCCAGCCAUGCCGCGUGCAGGAAGACGCAUCUAUGGUGUGUAAACUGCUUUUGUACGGGAAGAAACACUCCCUCGUGAGGGAGCUUGACGGUACCGUAAGAAUAAGGAUCGGCUAACUCCGUGCAAGCAGCCGCGGUAAUACGGAGGAUCCAAGCGUUAUCCGGAAUCAUUGGGUUUAAAGGGUCCGUAGGCGUUUUAAUAAGUCAGUGGUGAAAGCCAAUCGCUCAACGAUGGAACGGCCAUUGAUACUGUUAGACUUGAAUUACAAGGAAGUAACUAGAAUAUGUAGUGUAGCGGUGAAAUGCUUAGAUAUUACAUGGAAUACCAAUUGCGAAGGCAGGUUACUACUUGUGGAUUGACGCUGAUGGACGAAAGCGUGGGGAGCGAACAGGAUUAGAUACCCUGGUAGUCC